UACAGAGGGGGCAAGCGUUGUUCGGAAUUACUGGGCGUAAAGGGCGCGUAGGCGGCCUUCUAAGUCGAACGUGAAAUCCCUGGGCUCAACCCAGGAACUGCGUCCGAUACUGGCAGGCUUGAAUCCGGGAGAGGGAUGCGGAAUUCCAGGUGUAGCGGUGAAAUGCGUAGAUAUCUGGAGGAACACCGGUGGCGAAGGCGGCAUCCUGGACCGGCAUUGACGCUGAGGCGCGAAAGCCAGGGUAGCGAACGGGG
rnacentral:rRNA from 1 species